CAAGGCUGAGGCGUGAUGACGAGGCACCACGGUGCUGAAGCGACAAAUGCCCUGCUUCCAGGAAAAGCCUCUAAGCAUCAGGUAACAUCAAAUCGUACCCCAAACCGACACAGGUGGUCAGGUAGAGAAUACCAAGGCGCUUGAGAGAACUCGGGUGAAGGAACUAGGCAAAAUGGUGCCGUAACUUCGGGAGAAGGCACGCUGAUAUGUAGGUGAAGCGACUUGCUCGUGGAGCUGAAAUCAGUCGAAGAUACCAGCUGGCUGCAACUGUUUAUUAAAAACACAGCACUGUGCAAACACGAAAGUGGACGUAUACGGUGUGACGCCUGCCCGGUGCCGGAAGGUUAAUUGAUGGGGUUAGCGGUAACGCGAAGCUCUUGAUCGAAGCCCCGGUAAACGGCGGCCGUAACUAUAACGGUCCUAAGGUAGCGAAAUUCCUUGUCGGGUAAGUUCCGACCUGCACGAAUGGCGUAAUGAUGGCCAGGCUGUCUCCACCCGAGACUCAGUGAAAUUGAACUCGCUGUGAAGAUGCAGUGUACCCGCGGCAAGACGGAAAGACCCCGUGAACCUUUACUAUAGCUUGACACUGAACAUUGAGCCUUGAUGUGUAGGAUAGGUGGGAGGCUUUGAAGUGUGGACGCCAGUCUGCAUGGAGCCGACCUUGAAAUACCACCCUUUAAUGUUUGAUGUUCUAACGUUGGCCCGUAAUCCGGGUUGCGGACAGUGUCUGGUGGGUAGUUUGACUGGGGCGGUCUCCUCCUAAAGAGUAACGGAGGAGCACGAAGGUUGGCUAAUCCUGGUCGGACAUCAGGAGGUUAGUGCAAUGGCAUAAGCCAGCUUGACUGCGAGCGUGACGGCGCGAGCAGGUGCGAAAGCAGGUCAUAGUGAUCCGGUGGUUCUGAAUGGAAGGGCCAUCGCUCAACGGAUAAAAGGUACUCCGGGGAUAACAGGCUGAUACCGCCCAAGAGUUCAUAUCGACGGCGGUGUUUGGCACCUCGAUGUCGGCUCAUCACAUCCUGGGGCUGAAGUAGGUCCCAAGGGUAUGGCUGUUCGCCAUUUAAAGUGGUACGCGAGCUGGGUUUAGAACGUCGUGAGACAGUUCGGUCCCUAUCUGCCGUGGGCGCUGGAGAACUGAGGGGGGCUGCUCCUAGUACGAGAGGACCGGAGUGGACGCAUCACUGGUGUUCGGGUUGUCAUGCCAAUGGCACUGCCCGGUAGCUAAAUGCGGAAGAGAUAAGUGCUGAAAGCAUCUAAGCACGAAACUUGCCCCGAGAUGAGUUCUCCCUGACUCCUUGAGGGUCCUGAAGGAACGUUGAAGACGACGACGUUGAUAGGCCGGGUGUGUAAGCGCAGCGAUGCGUUGAGCUAACCGGUACUAAUGAACCGUGAGGCUUAACCUU
rnacentral:rRNA from 1 species